rnacentral:rRNA from 1 species
GUGCCAGCCGCCGCGGUAAGACGUAGGGCGCGAGCGUUGUCCGGAUUUAUUGGGCGUAAAGAGCUCGUAGGCGGCUUGUCGCGUCGGAUGUGAAAACCUGCAGCUCAACUGCAGGCUUGCAUCCGAUACGGGCAGGCUAGAGUUCGGUAGGGGAGACUGGAAUUCCUGGUGUAGCGGUGAAAUGCGCAGAUAUCAGGAGGAACACCGGUGGCGAAGGCGGGUCUCUGGGCCGAUACUGACGCUGAGGAGCGAAAGCGUGGGGAGCGAACAGGAUUAGAUACCCUUGUAGUCC